CACAGGUGAGAGACGAUAGUGGCUCACAGCAUGCUGGCAGCUGCGAAGGUGGAGGACAGUGUCUAGGUUUGAGAGGUACUUUGGAAGUAGAAUCAGCAGGAUUUUCAGAUGGAUUGCAUAUAGGGAAGCCAUUAUCUUCUCUGUGUGAAGAUUCUGAAGAUCUUUCACCCUCCAUCCCUGUUCUCUUGGUCAAGUUGAACCCUGUAAGGAUUUGGAAGACUGCGGUCCAGUGGCCCGAAAUCCCGUUCAGCUGCAGCUCAGCUCUUUGAACAGCCGAGGGGAUCUCCCACAGGAUGGUGUGAGGAAAACUCUAGGAGAGGUGCUGCUGCUGCUGCUAAGUCGACUCUGUGCGACCCCAUAGACGGCAGCCCACCAGGCUCCCCCGUCCAUGGGAUUUUCUAGGCAAGAGUACUGGAGUGGGGUGCCAUUGCCUUCUCCGAGGAGAGGUACUAAUCAAUGUCAAAUGAAAAAAAAAAUGUACAAAAUGCUAUAAAUGGGCAUUUUGUAGGCAGAUAUUGUUCUUUGUUUUGUGAUGAAUCUGUUGACUUUUAUUUUGUUUAGUUAGCAAAUAUGUGACGGUUGCCGGCCUGCCCUGUGCCUAGCACUGUGUGUGGGGGUUCAGAGCUCAGCUGGGUCUGAGACAAAUGUGGUCCUGCCCCCGCACAGCUUGCACUCUAGAGAGAGGCAGCCUGCAAGUAACUGCAAGGGUGAUGAAGAGGGACUAUGACAGGCAGACCUGGAAGUGGUCUUAGUAAGGGGCACAGGGAAAGCCUCAGGAGGAAGUGAGAUUUAACCUGAUGUCCCCCAAAUAAAAAUUAACCAUUUAGCUAACAUUUUCAGUUCAGUUCAGUUCAGUCGCUCAGUCAUGUCCGACUCUUUGCGACCCCAUGAACCACAGCACUCCAGGCCUCCCUGUCCAUCACCAGCCCCCGGAGUCCACCCAAACUCAAGUCCAUUGAGUUGGUGAUGCCAUCUAACCAUCUCAUCCUCUGUCGUCCCCUUCUUCUGCCUUCAAUCUUUCCCAACAUCAGGACCUUUUCAAAUGAAUCAGCUCUUCACAUCAGGUGGCCAAAAUAUUGGAGUUUCAGCUUCAACAUCAGUCCUUCCAGUGAACCCCCAGGACUGAUUUCCUUUAGGAUGGACUGGUUUAAUAGAGCUUAUUAUGUGACAGGGGCUUCCCUGGUGGUUCAGUAAUAAAGAAUCCACCUGCCAAUGUAGGAGACAUAGGUUUGAUCCCUGGGUCAGGAAGACCCCCUGGAGAAAGGAAUGGCAACCCACUCCAGUACUCUUCUUGCCUGAGAAAUCCCCCGGACAGAGCAUCCUGGUGGGUUACAAUCCAUGGGGUUGCAAAAGAUGUCAGACACGACUUAGGAGCUAAGCAACAACUUCAUGUGACAGGCACCAUUCUGAGAGCUUCUUUACAUGUUUAACUCAUUUAAUUCUCACAAUGGCCCUAUGAAGUGCAGA
ensembl:lncRNA